UACGUAGGUGGCAAGCGUUGUCCGGAUUUAUUGGGUUUAAAGGGUGCGUAGGCGGCCCUGUAAGUCAGUGGUGAAAUACGGCAGCUCAACUGUCGAGGUGCCAUUGAUACUGCGGGGCUUGAGUACAGUCGAGGUAGGCGGAAUUGACGGUGUAGCGGUGAAAUGCUUAGAUAUCGUCAAGAACACCGAUAGCGAAGGCAGCUUACUAGGCUGUAACUGACGCUGAGGCACGAAAGUGCGGGGAUCAAACAGG
rnacentral:rRNA from 1 species